rnacentral:rRNA from 1 species
UAUAGUUUCCAUGUCAGUUGCUAAUUACCUGGAUAUCCAUGGUAAUUCUAGAGCUAAUACAUGCGUCCAAACCCGACUUUUUGGAAGGGUUGUGCUUAUUAGACACUGAACCAACCCGGGUUUCCCGGUUUCGAGUUGAUUGAUGGUAAUCGAACGAAUCGCAUGCUUCGGCGGCGAUGAUUCAUUCAAGUUUCUGACCUAUCAGCUUUCGACGGUAGGGUAUUGGCCUACCGUGGCAUUGACGGGUAACGGAGAAUUAGGGUUUGAUUCCGGAGAGGGAGCCUGAGAAACGGCUACCACA